AUGACAAAAGUGAAGUUGAAUGUGCAACACACACACACACACACACACACUAUUUUAGUGUCUAUUUGUUUAAGCGUUUGUCUUAUUCUUUGGCUAAAAAUAUCAAAUUGACUGAAGUGGUGGAAAAAUACAUUAUGGUUAAACAGGUUCUGAAAAUCUAAUCAGCUGUGAUUGUUGAAUAUUUUCAUGCUAUUUAUAUGCAUUGUAAAAAAAAAAAGGAAUAUUUAAUAUUUAACUUUAAUUUUUUUUUUUUUAAGUAUGCAUAGCUAUCAAAACAUUUUUAUUGCACGAAUUUGUAAAUCUUUGGCUUGGACAGAUGAACUGAAGAUAGUGGAAGAUGGUGUUUUCAAUGCUAUACAAAGAUUUGAUAUGAUUCAACUUUGGAGAAUUGAAUACAGAUGGAACAAAACCCAUUUAUCAUCAUAGCCAGAAUGAAUGAACCAAACUAUUUUGAUUGUACUGGUCAUGAUGAGACAUUCAGACACAGAGUACAGCUGGAUCAAAAAAAAAAAAAAAAAACCCUGGAUAUAUCACAAUCAAUAACAUCAGACCCACAGACUAAAUAUCAUCAGGAAUUGACAAAAUAUGAUCUCUAGGACAUUUAUCGUCUGAGAUUCCUUAGAAAACAGAUAGAGACAAAGGAAGAGAAGAGACUAAAUCACAGAUGAAUGGAGAGGUUACUGAAAACACUUGUCAUUAUCCUUAUUUAAAAUGCAAUUUUUUGCAUUUAGGAGCCUUUAAAACAGGCGAAAAUGUGAUGUUUGAACGUUUUCUGCUCUCUAGUGGACAAUCUAAAGGUUGCACUGUUUCAAACAGUAAUGUGAAGAAGAGAUUUUGCUCUGACAGUUCAAUUUCAGCGUUUUUUUAAUAUAUAUUUUAAUAAUAAUACAUUUUGUCUCAUGAAAUUAAUUAUGUUGUAUCUAUCAAGUGCAAUAAACCUAUGACUGACUGUCUUGGUAGGCCUAACACUUGAAUAAUAUCUUGAACUUUGGCUAACACACCCAUUCACUGUCUCAAAUCGCUUGCUAGUCGGCGGUGUGAACUCUAGCCUACUACCGGAGUGAGUUUCUGCCCUGUUCUCCGUGACGGACCCCGUUGGGAAGCUCCAUUUACUUCCUUCUUUUGAUCGGAUUUAGCGCAAUGAGUUCUCAGCAUUUAAAUCAACAACAUUUCGCGUUUCGCUCGUAUAAACGCGACCUGCUGAUCUGAAGUCGGUGAAAUAUGACAAAAUAACGUAUAAAAGUGAAAUGAUGUCGCUGAAACUGAUUGGACGAACUGAUGGGACGCUUUGAGACUCGACGGAACGGUUUGACGACUACAAUGGACAACUUUUACUGAUCUUUACAGAAAUAUGGAGACGUUUGUUUUAUUUUGUGUUACUUUACUCGUGGAUGGUGUGUUUGGUUAUACGGAUGAAGUGAAGUCAGUGUCAGUGAUGGAGGGAGAUUCUGUCACUUUAUUUACUGAUCUUACUGAAAUACAGAAAGCUGAUCUGAUACUGUGGGCGUUUGGAUCUGACAGCACUCGAAUAGUUCAGAUCAACAGAAUGGCCAAUAAGAUCUCAUUAUAUGAGGAUGUUCUUGAUGGGAGAUUCAGAGACAGACUGAAGGUGGAUCAUCAGACUGGAUCUCUGAUCAUCACAAACAUCACAACUCAACAUACUGGACUUUACAGAUUUUUACAGAUUAUUGACAGAAAAGAGGUCCUGCCCAAGAAAUUCAGUAUUAUUGUUUCUGCUCGUCUGUCUGUUCCUGUCAUCAGCAGCAACCAUUCACAGUGUUCAUCAUCAUCAUCAUCAUCAUAUUGUUCACUGCUGUGUUCAGUGGUGAAUGUGGGUCAUGUGACUCUCUCCUGGUACAAAGGAAACAGUUUAUUGUCCAGCAUCAGUGUGUCUGAUCUCAGCAUCAGUCUCUCUCUACCUCUGGAGGUGGAAUAUCAGGAUAAAAACACCUACAGCUGUGUGCUCAACAAUCCCAUCAGCAACCAGACCAGACAUCUGGACAUCAGCAAACUCUGUCAACCAUGCUCAGCACCGGGUUUGUCUGCAGUUCAUAUAGCACUGGUUUGUGUUUGUGCUCUGGCUGUGGCUGCAGUUUUGUGUGGUAUUUAUUAUUACUGUCAGCGCAAGACACGUAAACAGGCAGAUAAAGGCGAUGAACUUGACGGAGAGGAACUCAAGAACAUAAAAAGUGUAGUUCCUGGAAACAAUGGGGACAUGCAUCAGCCAAACCAUGCAGAUGGGGAAACGUCUAAUGAGGGCAGACAUUUAAAAAACGAUGCAGUUCCUUUGUUAGCUGUGGAGGUAGACGGUGGAAACGCAUCUGUUCAGGAGGGAGAUUUAGAAACUAGUGUGCUUCUUAAGGAAGAUAAAAUCACGUCAAAGCCUGUGACUGAGGGACAAUCUGUCACGCUACACACUGAUCUUACCGAAAUACGGGAAAGUGACAUGAUAUGGUGGAAGUUUGCAGAUUACAAAGAAUGCAGUUGUGCUAAAUUUGUUUUAAUAGCUACACUGAAUAAAACAAACAAUGAGGUCUACCUAUAUGAUGAAACAAUUCAACAAUUCAAAGACUUGAAACUGAACCACGAUACCGGAUCUCUCACCAUCACAAGCAUCACACCUGAACUCUAUGGAUAUUAUAAACUACACAUCACCAGGAAAGAAGAAAGGGUCGUUCAUACAUUCAGUGUUGGUGACCCAAUGAGAAGAGAGCGGACCCGAAACCUUCUACAGAGGAGACAAACCUACCCAAGCCUGAACAGAUGACCUUAAAAUUCUGUUUCAUUUAUGUGUUCGUACUGUUAACAGGUUCAGGUAAGAACAGAGCAAAGACAGUCCAAAUGUUUGAGACCAUUUUUUACAUUGUAAUUUAUGCUUUAUUACAUUUUUUUAAUUGCAAACUCUCAGCAAAACAGUUUUUGUUCAAAUUUAAGUAGAAACAUGAAACAGAGCAUCUUCGAUGAUUGUCCGACUCUGUACAAAGAGUCACAUAAUCAACAGCACUCAGUUUCUUAGAUUUGAAUUAACUAAAUUUAGAAAUAGCAUAAUAAUCUAGAAUGUUUUUUUUUUAAACUCUGAAUUGCAAUGCUGUCUCAAACUUUUGGACACCACUAUUAUAGUAAAUAGUCAAUAAUUAAAGUUAUGUAACCAGGGCGUAAAUUUCAUCUGACAGUAGGGGGGGGACAAUAAACAUAAAAUUUCUCAAGAGCAAUUUUUGAAGGGGACACAAAUAAUACAGACAAAAUUGUACUUGUAAGGAUAGAUAUGUGUACACAGCAUGUGUACAUAGCAUGGAGACCAUGUUUAAAUAUGAUGGUUCACCACGCGGUCAUAUUAAUUAUUAUUUUGCGUCAUCCAUAGUAUUUUAGGUUUUGUCUGAAACCUAGUAACGUUACGUCUCUUUCGCAUUAAUUCAACCGCAUUAAACCCACUGAUCUGCCACUUAACAUCAUAUUGAACGAAACCCAACCGGUAGGUCUACAAUAUUAGCCUAAUAUCAGUUCACACACAGGCUUAUCGCCGUGUUAGUUGUAGUGGGUGACAAGCUACGGUAUUACACUUGUUAACCUUAUAAUCGCUCAUAGAAAAAACAUCGGAUGUCAUAAUUUUUUUAUCAUGACUAAUUUAUUAAUGAUCCAGCAUCAUCUGUAUUAAAGAGAAAGAAUCAUUUCACCCGAUGUUUAAAGAGAAUAAAACAGCCUUGACAGCCUACUUACACAUAACUAACUUGCUCUCUCUCACUGGACUCGUGUGUGUAUCGGUAAAGAAGGAAAGCAGGCCGUGGACCAAACCACUCCUCUCUGCAUCAGGUAGUUGAAAGCACUGAAGGAAGCUCCGUCAUCUUGAAGUGCAGUCACAGAAGUAUUGAACUUGAAGAAAAACAUCUGACAGUACACUGGAGACACAACGACACCAGGAACAUAUUCAAUAUCAUCAAUGGAAAAGUUUCUGUAAAGGAACAGGACCCAGCGUACAAAAGCAGAGCAGAAGUUUCACCUGAGGAGCUGAAGAAGGGCCGUGUCUUUCUCAAACUCACCGAUCUUCAGCUCUCUGAUGGAGGAACGUAUGUCUGUUUUGUCCCAGCUUUGGGAAUUGAUCACAGCACACAACUGGUCAUCAAAGAAAGAUCAUUCAUAACAUGCACAACUGCUGAAAUAAGAAACCAUGGUACAGAAGCAAGCCUGGGAAGGACUCUGUACCUGCUAAUUCCUUCAUCUGGAUUUAUUGUACUUUAUUUGAUUGCAUAGUGAAGCAGUGAGUGAACCAAAUUAUUGUUCAAUGAUUGCUGCUAAACAUGGCUCCAUUCAGCCUGGAUCUGCACUGAUAUACAAAUUCGAAAAUUUUAGAUUAUAGUUAAAACCUGAUUUGUAGAUAAUAAUCUAUGACUGUUUUAUAUUAAAAAAAACUG